UCUGGAGGACUGGCAAGACUGAGUCUGGAGUGUGAGGCUCAAGUGACAGUGACCUCCUAAAAGAAAAGGGAUGGAGAGAGCAGUCCUACUUACAGAACAUCACAGGGCUCACUGUGCCAUCUGACACUG
ensembl:scaRNA